UCCAGAUGCAAGAGAGUGUUUGAAAGGAUGACGCUGGCCCUAACCUGGGGCAGAGGUUCUCCCUGUUGCAAAGUCAGAGGGAGAAUCUUGUGAGUUGGACACAUCAAUGUAUUGAGUCUCUUUUGCAGCAUGGGGUAGGAUUGGAAAAUGAGAUUCCAGAACCAGACAGCCUUCCCUCUCUGGGUGCCAGCAGCGAGCGUCUGUUCCUGAAGCAGUGAUAUGGCCCUCGGCACAGUCAAGAAUUGUGCCAUUUGGGAGGCAGGAAAUCGUUUCCAGGAGAAAGUGCCCCAUGCAGAUGGCUAAGCAUCUGGCCCUGGGGAAUCUGCAAAUGCUGAAAACGUCAGGAUUUAAAAGAAACCCAGACUUGUUCCCUUUUCCUAAUUGCUUCCAACCCUUCCCUGAGCCUUUUCUCCCUUAGAGACAAUGGAAUGGGCUAGAAUGUGCUCAAGGGUGCAGAAUGCUGGGCAGGAAUCUUAGGGAUGAACCGCAGAGAGGUGAUGGGGUGGGGAGAAUUUCCCAGUUAUUUCCAAACCAGUGGGAAGUUCCAACUGGGAACAUAUUCCCCAGGGCACUGAACUAUUAAAAUAGGGCACCGACUUAAAUGGUGCAUGGACCAAUCAGAAUUGACCACAGACCACACAGACUGGAGCAGGGGCCAAUCAAGAUGAAAGAUUUGCCAAUCAGGAUGGAGCAUACCUCAGUGAGAAUGGAUCAGGAACCACAAAGAAUGGAUCAUGAUCUAAUCAGGAUGGAGCAUGGGCCAAUCACAAUGGAGCACCGUCCAAUCAGGCUGGAGCAUUUUUCAGUCAGAAUGGAGCACGGGCCAAUCACAAUGGACACCUGUCUAAAGACCCAGCACGGACGGAGCAGUGUGUCCAGCUGAGUGUCUCUCCUGGUGCUGCACUCAUCAGGCCCCUCCCUAUCUUAUCCCACCGCCCCAGGCCGUGGGUCAGGAGACAGAGGUGCCUGGAGGAGCCAAGAGCAAGCCCCACUUCUGCCUGUGCAACGAGACACCCACCCUGAGAGAGGACUGUGGGGGGCAGAAGGACAGGAGCCCAGGGAUGUGCUGUGUCUGUCUGUCCGGCUGUCUGUGCAGGAGCCCGGAGACCUCAGGCUUCCAAGCUAGCAUUUGUGCUCCUCAGAUCUGGGGUCGACUCCAGGACAAGCUGAUACUUACAGACACAGAAGGCGAUUUAAACCUGUCCCCAGGAGCUGACAGUGUAGUCUGGGGUGAAUUCAUUUGUAAGAGUCUGUUGACAUUCAUUGUAAAAGAUGAGUACUUCUCACUGGUCCUCACAUGUCUCAUCCCUGAAACGGAGGGGGAGAACAUCAUUUUAAUUGCCAUACAGUAUGUGUUUCCUGAAGACUUAAUGGCUGCUUUGCAGUUUACCAUGGAGGGGUAGAUUUAUAGCACUGUCUGCGGGUCCUUGCCUGUGCUGGGCUCAUUGUCAGGUUGUGGGUAAAAUGGAGAGGGUCUAGGGGGCGCGCCUUUGCCACCCAGGCAUCUCCAGAGCUGACUUGUGGCUCAGGGCCAGAGGCAGGCCAAGGACAGUUCAACCAGCGAUCAGAGCCCAGGCCUUCCAGGCAGGUCCAACUCCCAGUGCUGACCCUGACAGCUGUGCUGUGUGAUCCCGGAGCUAUCCUCACCACUGAGCACGGUUCCCUUCUCUGUAAAGCAGGGAAAUUGAUGCUCUCCCAGGGACACCACUCGGCAGCCAUUCCCCCAGUGCCUGGGACAGCCCCCUGAGGAUCAC
rnacentral:lncRNA from 1 species